rnacentral:rRNA from 1 species
UACAGAGGCCUCGAGCGUUAGGCGGAAUCACUGGGCUUAAAGCGUGUGUAGGCGGACUUCUAAGUACCUUGUGAAAUCCCACGGCUCACCCGUGGAACUGCUCGGUAUACUGGUCGUCUUGAGCCAUCUAGGGGCGAGUGGAACAAAUGGUGGAGCGGUGAAAUGCGUAGAUAUCAUUUGGAACGCCAAUGGUGAAAACAACUCGCUGGGGAAGUGCUGACGCUGAGACACGAAAGCCAGGGGAGCGAACGGG